rnacentral:rRNA from 1 species
UACGUAGGGGCCGAGCGUUGUCCGGAGUUACUGGGCGUAAAGCGCGCGCAGGCGGCUCGCUUUGCCCGGCGUGAAAGCCCCCGGCUCAACCGGGGAGGGUCGUCGGGGACGGGCGAGCUUGAGGCCGGCAGGGGCAGGUGGAAUUCCCGGUGUAGUGGUGAAAUGCGUAGAGAUCGGGAGGAACACCCGUGGCGAAGGCGGCCUGCUGGGCCGGACCUGACGCUGAGGCGCGAAAGCCAGGGGAGCAAACGGG